rnacentral:tRNA from 1 species
AAUCACAUAGACUUUAUAAGUUGUGAGGGUUCAAGUCCCUCUAUCCCCAA